rnacentral:misc_RNA from 1 species
ACCUACUGUUUAAUUUUGAGGGUUCGUUUUUACGAAUACUCAAAAUUAGCACUUUAAGCAACGAGAUUUAUCCGUUGGCGCUGUGCUUUAGCACUUUGAAAACUGCAUAUAUAUUUAGUGAUAUGACAUCUAAUUUGUAAUAUAUAAAGCUGAUAACUUUUUAAAAUUAUCGAAGUUGAUAGCUUCUAAUCUAUCAAACCUUUUUAACUGGUCAA